GCCUGGGUGGCUCAGUCGGUUGAGCGUCCGACUUCAGCUCAGGUCACGAUCUCACGGUUCGUGAGUUCAAGCCCCACAUCAGGCU
rnacentral:tRNA from 1 species